rnacentral:rRNA from 1 species
AAUGAACGCUGGCGGCAGGCCUAACACAUGCAAGUCGAACGAGGCAGCAAUGCCUAGUGGCGGACGGGUGAGUAACGCGUGGGAACGUGCCCCUUGGUACGGAAUAGCCCUGGGAAACUGGGAGUAAUACCGUAUGUGGUCGAGAGACGAAAGAUUUAUCGCCAAGGGAUCGGCCCGCGUUGGAUUAGGUAGUUGGUGGGGUAAUGGCCUACCAAGCCGACGAUCCAUAGCUGGUUUGAGAGGAUGAUCAGCCACACUGGGACUGAGACACGGCGCAGACUCCUACGGGAGGCAGCAGUGGGGAAUCUUAGACAAUGGGGGAAACCCUGAUCUAGCCAUGCCGCAUGAUCGAUGAAGGCCUUAGGGUUGUAAAGAUCUUUCAGUGGGGAAGAUAAUGACGGUACCCACAGAAGAAGCCCCGGCUAACUCCGUGCCAGCAGCCGCCGUAA